GAUGAACGCUGACAGAAUGCUUAACACAUGCAAGUCAACUUGAACUUCGGUUUGGGUGGCGGACGGGUGAGUAACGCGUAAAGAACUUGCCUCACAGAUAGGGACAACAUUUGGAAACGAAUGCUAAUACCUGAUAUUAUGAUUUUAGGGCAUCCUAGAAUUAUGAAAGCUAUAUGCACUGUGAGAGAGCUUUGCGUCCCAUUAGCUAGUUGGAGAGGUAACGGCUCACCAAGGCGAUGAUGGGUAGCCGGCCUGAGAGGGUGAUCGGCCACAAGGGGACUGAGACACGGCCCUUACUCCUACGGGAGGCAGCAGUGGGGAAUAUUGGACAAUGGACCAAGAGUCUGAUCCGGCAAUUCUGUGUGCACGAUGAAGUUUUUCGGAAUGUAAAGUGCUUUCAGUUGGGAAGAAAAAAAUGACGGUACCAACAGAAGAAGUGACGGCUAAAUACGUGCCAGCAGCCGCGGUAAUACGUAUGUCACAAGCGUUAUCCGGAUUUAUUGGGCGUAAAGCGCGUCUAGGUGGUUAUGUAAGUCUGAUGUGAAAAUGCAGGGCUCAACUCUGUAUUGCGUUGGAAACUGUGUAACUAGAGUACCGGAGAGGUAAGCGGAACUACAAGUGUAGAGGUGAAAUUCGUAGAUAUUUGUAGGAAUGCCGAUGGGGAAGCCAGCUUACUGGACAGAUACUGACGCUGAAGCGCGAAAGCGUGGGUAGCAAACAGG
rnacentral:rRNA from 1 species